rnacentral:rRNA from 1 species
GACAGAGGGUGCAAACGUUGUUCGGAAUUACUGGGCGUAAAGUGAGUGUAGGCGGUUUGGUAAGUCGGAUGUGAAAGCCCCGGGCUCAACCCGGGAAGUGCACUCGAUACUGCCAAGCUAGAGUAUCGGAGAGGUUGGUGGAGUUCUCGGUGUAGAGGUGAAAUUCGUAGAUAUCGAGAGGAACACCGGUGGCGAAGGCGGCCAACUGGACGAAUACUGACGCUGAGACUCGAAAGCGUGGGGAGCAAACAGG